rnacentral:rRNA from 1 species
AAAGUCCCGGUAAGGUUCUAAGUAUAAGCAACUAUACGGUGACCUGCGAAUGGCUCAUUAAAUCAGUUAUCGUUUAUUUGAUAGUACCUUACUACUUGGAUAACCGUGGUAAUUCUAGAGCUAAUACAUGCUAAAAACCCCAACUUCGGAAGGGGUGUAUUUAUUAGAUAAAAAACCAACGCCCUUCGGGGCUCCUUGGUGAUUCAUAAUAACUAAACGAAUCGCAUGGCCUUGCGCCGGCGAUGGUUCAUUCAAAUUUCUGCCCUAUCAACUUUCGAUGGUAGGAUAGUGGCCUACCAUGGUAUCAACGGGUAACGGGGAAUUAGGGUUCUAUUCCGGAGAGGGAGCCUGAGAAACGGCUACCACAUCCAAGGAAGGCAGCAGGCGCGCAAAUUACCCAAUCCCGACACGGGGAGGUAGUGACAAUAAAUACUGAUACAGGGCUCUUUUGGGUCUUGUAAUUGGAAUGAGUACAAUUUAAAUCCCUUAACGAGGAACAAUUGGAGGGCAAGUCUGGUGCCAGCAGCCGCGGUAAUUCCAGCUCCAAUAGCGUAUAUUAAAGUUGUUGCAGUUAAAAAGCUCGUAGUUGAACCUUGGGCCUGGCUGGCCGGUCCGCCUCACCGCGUGUACUGGUCCGGCCGGGCCUUUCCUUCUGGGGAGCCGCAUGCCCUUCACUGGGCGUGUCGGGGAACCAGGACUUUUACUUUGAAAAAAUUAGAGUGUUCAAAGCAGGCCUUUGCUCGAAUACAUUAGCAUGGAAUAAUAGAAUAGGACGUGCGGUUCUAUUUUGUUGGUUUCUAGGACCGCCGUAAUGAUUAAUAGGGAUAGUCGGGGGCAUCAGUAUUCAAUUGUCAGAGGUGAAAUUCUUGGAUUUAUUGAAGACUAACUACUGCGAAAGCAUUUGCCAAGGAUGUUUUCAUUAAUCAGUGAACGAAAGUUAGGGGAUCGAAGACGAUCAGAUACCGUCGUAGUCUUAACCAUAAACUAUGCCGACUAGGGAUCGGGCGAUGUUAUCAUUUUGACUCGCUCGGCACCUUACGAGAAAUCAAAGUCUUUGGGUCUGGGGGAGUAGCCAAUGG